ACAUACACACAUAUGCAUAUUGAUGUAUAAAUAUACAUACAUGUAUUGAUAUGUAUGUAUAGAUAUAAAUAUGCAUAGUUACAAAUGUGUGUAUAGGAAAAUUAAUGUAUCAAAGAUCAGGAAGACCAUAUAUAUAUGUAUGUAUAUAUAUAUAUACACACACACACACACCACACACACACACAUAUAUACCUUUGUGUGUAUGUGUGUUUAAAUGUAUGAAUAUUUAUGUAUAUAUAGAGUUUCAAAUGAGCCAUUAAAUUAAUGUUAUAUCUUUAUUUUAUAUCUGCUUCCAUGCGGGCAUGGGUUGGACAGUUUGACAGGAUCUGACGACUUGAGAUGACUAUGUUGUGGUCUUGUCUCACUCCUGCAUGGCUGGAUGCCAUUCUUCCUAAGGCUAACCAUUUUACAGAGUUUAUCAGAUGUGUUUUGUUCUUUUUUUUCUUCUUUUUUUUCCUUUUUUUUUUUGUUUUGCAUGGCAUCAGCAGAAGUGAGGCCAUGUUGUAACUGGGGAAAUUAAACUAACUACAACACUGAAAGGAGAAAUGCGAGAAAGAGCAAUAAUUUUAGGCGAGGUGAUGAAAGAUUGGAAUAUAAUGAGAGGAACAAUUUUAAGAGAGAAAGGACCAGGCAGAAGGUUGAUAGAACAGGUUGUGUAGAGGGGGGAGAGAAGGGACAGGAUGGAAGGUUAAAAAAUAAAGGUGAUCUAGUUCUAUCGCAUACUAAAGGGAGAAAUAUAGGUGCAAGGUGUAGGAAUUGGCAUGAAAUACUGGAAGAUAGAUGAGGAUCUAGAGAAGGUAAGGGAGAAGAAACAUAUCAGGUUAAGAGAAAAGUGGUUGGGGGGGAGGUGUAGUAGGGGCAGAGAGGGAAAAAAUGUUGAGAUGGCAUACAUAUCUGUACACACGUGUGUUUAUGUAUAUGUGUGUGUCUAUAUAUCUAUAAAUGUUUUUAUGUGAAGUUAUAUUAAAAAACAAUUCAACAAGCUGAAGGAUCACUGAAUACUUUUUAGUUUAGUACAAUUUAUAUUUUAAGAAAGAUAAGGUUGACUGACACCAAAGUUUCAGCUUAUAGGCUGUCAUCAGGCAGUGGUUUACUUUUGUCUUUUGGGUUUUUUCAUCAUUUUGUUUUGGCAUGGUGUUCCCUUGAUAGAUGGAGUAAUGUAAAUGGAAAUGAUGUUGAAAGGUGGUAAAUGGAUAUGGUCAGAAGGUACAUAUAUGCAGGGCGAGGGAUAAUGGAGAGAGUUUUUCUAGUUUGAUAGUUAAAAUUUGUUUGGGUACAAUCAGGCAUGUAUGUAAAGGACUAAAGAUUUAAAGAGGUUUGUGUGGUAGACGUGUCAUAUUCAGGCCUUCAAGUCACAAUUUGGAUUGGUUCAAGUCUUUAUUAUGACUAAUCAAGACACUUGCCUAAACCUAGUAUUGUGCUAUUUUAGAGUUAAUAAAACAAAGUUUAUAAUCUCUUUUCAACUUGACACAGAUGGUAGGUCAGUAUUGGUGUUAGAAACCUUCAUUUGGCUUUUUAAAGAAAAAGUUAGAUUGAUAUAGACUAUACAGUUCUAUAUUUAAGAGAUAAGGAAUUAUUUUCAUUUGACAGAUAUUUGUCCUCAUCUUGUUUGUUGUUAACACGUUUCGGCUGGUAUACCCUCCAGCCUUCAUCAGGUGUCUUGGGAAAAUUUCAAACCUGGGUUCUCAUUCCUAAGGUAUUUUUCAAUAUUAUUAUUAUUAUUAUUAUUCAGGUCACUGCCAGGAAUCGAACUCGGAACUAACCCAAGAUUCCAAGUUUGAUUCCAGGCAGUGACCUGAAUAAUAAUAACAAUAAUAAUAACAACAUUGAAAACUACCUUAGGAAUGAGAACCCAGGUUCGAAAUUUCCCCAAGACACCUGAUGAAGGCUGGAGGACAUAUCAGCCGAAACGUUGUGUUAACAACAAACAAGAUGAGGACAAAUAUUCAUCAAAUGUAAAUAAUGGUUAUAGCGUACACUCAUAUCUGUUCAUGCACAUGUGCGUGUACACAAAUGUGCACGAAUGGUAAUAUUCCAUAUUUGUUGUUCCUUGAUUGAAACGAGGGUGAUAUUGGUAUUCCUUCAUACUAUGACUGGCUGAUCUGCAUUUUCGAAGAUGUCUAGAAUAAAAAAAAAUCCCUUACUUGAAAUACAGGUAAGGGUUAGCAGCAGGAAGAGCACCUGGGUAUAAAAUUUUGCCUUAAAUAACUGUCCAACUCUGAGGCAUGGUAAAGCAGAUGCAAAAUGUACGAAUGAAAGAACAAUAUUAUAAAAUAUAUGUAUGUAAAUAUACAUACAUACAUAUAUAUAUAUAUAUAUACACACAGAGAUUUAUACGUGUGUAUGUAUUUAUAUAGAUAUAUCUAAAAAUAUAUACAUAUAUAUAUAUAUAUAUAUAUAUACACACACACACACACACACACAGAUUUAUACAUGUGUGUAUGUAUACUUGUAUUUAUUUAUAUAGAUAUAUCUAAAAAUAUAUACAUGUGUGUAUGUAUACAUGUAUUUAUAUGGAUAUAUCUAGAAAUAUAUACAUAUGUCUAUAUACACAUAUAUUCAUGCAAAUUCUCACACACACACACACAUAUAUAUACACAUGAAUGUAUAGCUGUGUACAUAUAUGUAUAUCAUUAUGUAAAAUAUAAAAUAUAUUUUACAUCAUGCAAACAUUUUCUGAUCUAGAAAUUCAUUAUGUUGGGUGAAAUAGACAGAUAUGUUUAGUAUAUCAAAGGUUGAUGGUUGUUUCCCAGACUAGGGCGAAUCUCACUAUAGACUGUCAGCUGCUGAUAUGAUAAUUGUACAUGUAUGUGUGUGUGUACAUAUAUAUAUAUAUAUAGAUGUGUGUGUGUGUGUGUAUACAUAUAUAUGAAAUUUUAUUUAUAUAUAUAGUUAUAUGCAAAUAUGUUAUCCCACGGCUGAGUGGGGUCUGAUGUUGAAAUAUCUGAUACCUAGAAACUUCACUGACGAUACAUCCCACAGCAUCCACAAGAUGUAUCUUAAAACUACAUGUGUAUAUAUACAUGGAUAUAUAUAUAUAUAUAUAUAUAUAUGUGUGUGUUUGUGUGCACAGAUAUAUAUAUAUAUAUUAUGAUAGUAUAUGUGUGUGUGUGUUUAUGCAUGGAUGUUUGUAUGUAAAAGUAUGAAGAGAAAUCGUUUAUACAAAAUGCUAAACAAUGAAAAAGAAAGUCGUGACAAACACCAUACAAUACCAUUAGUAUAUUUUAUAUGUUUAUAUGAAAACAACAACAAAACCUAGGUAACUAGCAAAACAAUAUUUACAACAGCAAGCAAGAAAGAAAGGAAAAAAAAAACAAACUGAAGAAAUAAAUAUAGAAAGACGGAGAAAAAAGCACACAAAACAACUGAUCCUAACUAAGGGUUAACGAGGGUAAACAAAACACAAACUGUAUAUUAUAAUUAUAUUAUAAACAUUUUUGCGUAUUUUUUUCAAAAAUGUUAAUUAUUAUCAUCAUCAUCAUCAUUAUUAUCAUUAUCACUAUUACUAUUAUCAUUAUUAUAAUUGUCCUUGAUAUUAAUAUAAUCGUCAUUUAUCAUUAUCAUCAUUAUUCUUAUUACUAUUACUGUUAUUACUAUUAUUAUCAUUAUCAUUAUUAUUAUUUCUUUUGGAAUCUAAUACAGAAAUAAACUUGUUAUAGAAUAUACAAAUGCUAACAGAAAAAUACUUCCUUUGGUCAGAUGAUAAGCUAUAUAUAUAUAUAUAUAUAUAUAUAUGAAACAUACACUAAUGAAACUUGUUUCAAAUCCAGCCUGCAGCAGGCAUUCCUUCCUACUAGUAACUUCCAUUUCUCACUCCUUUGAGUGUUUUUUUUUUUUUUUUUUUUUUUUUGACAUCUCCUCCAUCAUUCCCAUCAACACCAUACCCCUUCCUUUAUCUUCCAUUUAGUCGUUCCCUUAUUUUACCCAUUGAAAGCACCCAGUACCUGUUAUUUCUAUUGUUACUUAUGCUACAAUUGUUAUCAUCAUUAUCAUUAUUAUUAUUAUUAUUAUUAUUAUUGCUGCUGCCGAUGUUUGAGAUGAUGGCUUGUGCAGGCUCCAGUACCAUGAUGGUAAGCAAGCAAGCAAACCAAACAAAGCGAAGCCAAAAAAAAAAGAAAAACCAAUUGUUUUACCAGAUUCACUCCUUAAAACUCCAAACUCCAUUAAUGAAUAUCCCUGGCGGUGUGGGGGGUGGGUGGAAACGUGAACAUCAAGAAAUAUCUAAAAAAAUAAAACACAAAACUUAAUAAGAAACAAAAACAGAAUCGACUUCAUACGUGUGAAAAACGAGGAAAAUUGGAUGAUGAUGAUGAUGAUGAUGAAACUAAUAGAAAUAUCAAAAAUAGUUGUGAUUAUUAUUAUUAUUAUUAUUAUUAUUAUUACUAUUAUUAUUAUUUAAAUUUCUGACAUAAUUUAAAAUUCUCUGGAGUAUUUACCUUAUUUUUUGUGUUUAUUUUUUUCUGGUUAACAUAAGUUUCUACAGGCUCAAUCUUCUAUAUACGUAUGUGUGCAUAUAUAUAUAUAUAUAAUAUGUGCAUACACACACACACACAUGCAUAUACUUGAAGCUGAUGAGUCCCUCUGUUGCUACUCGCAGUUUCUUAACAUAUAUGUGUCAUCUUUAUAUCUCCUUCAAGUUAUCAACUGCAUUUAUUUGAUAUCCACUCAGAAUCUUGGUGGGGAUGGAGACAAUCCUCAGCUAUGUAAAAAAGUAAGUAUAUGUAGUCAGUAUAGCCAUAUAUAUAUAUAUAUAUGUGUGUAUAUAUUUAUAGAUAAGGAUAAUAUUGAUAUUUAUAUAUCGAUCUUAUCAAGUGGCCAGCAUGGGAAUAAAUACCAUACAAAGGUAAUAAUUAUUUAAAACUAUAAAUUAGGGUAUCUGAGAGAUACCACCCUGCUGAAAUAGCAGUCAAGGGUCAGGGUUUUGACUGCUAUUUCAGCAUCGUGGUAUCUCUCAGAUACCCUAAUUUAUAGUUUUAUAUAUGUGUAUUUAUAUAUAUAUACAUAUAUAUAUAUGCAAAAUUAAAUAAGGGUACAAAUUGAUAUUAAUCAAUUAAAACUAGUGGCUUAGCAUAUUUUAAAAAUCAGAAGAUUAAAAAUUGUUUCACAUACAAAAUUUAUAAGAUUGACCACUUGAGAACACAUUCUUCGUGGUAAUGUCGAUUUGACGUCUAUGUUUAGCAUAUAGGCUGUCCACUUUUAGUGGUCAGUCCUAUAAAUUUUGUGUAUAUAUAUAUGUAGAUAGAUAGAUAGAUAGAAUGGGUAUCUGAAGAUAUUUGGAAAUUUGAUCAAUGAAACUAAGAUGAAAGACAAAAUAGAUUUUGAUAAUUGAGACACCUGAAAAUAAUAUUUAUUGGCCACAAGGGACCCAUAUAUACAAAAUCUGUCAUACGAAAUGGGUUGCAAAAUGUGUGUGUUUAUAUGUAUAAGCAUACAUAUGUCUCAUGCACACACACUCUCACAUAUAUACACAUACAUACAUGUAUGUAUGUAUAUAUAUAUAUGACAUGCAUAUAUAAGGUGGAUGGGAGAGUAAAUUUUUGAUACAGUGUUUGGAAACACAAAUAAGGGAAACCUAUCCACACAGGGAUAGGAACCUGCCAUUCUGGUAGGCUUAGGGCAGCUCAUGGCUUGGAUCCCCUGCUUUGAUUGCCCAUCAGCACUUUCAGCUUUAAUUGAGCUGUAAAGCACCCCUCAUCCUUUUGAAGAAGGGCUCUUUACAAUUCUCCUGAACUUGAUAAUUCCUCAACUGUCAAACAGCCACUGACAUGGUCUUUUACAACCAUUCAUUACCAAGGGGUGCCUGGCACUUGUUUCCCCCAUCACCACCCUUCCACCAUCUUCCUCAGUCAGUAUUUGAUUCAUCCUCUCUCAUAGUCAGCAUUACCUCAAGUAAGCUAGGCUUCCUGUUCAAAUUACCAUUAAGUUCAGGCACUCUGUGGGGAUGGGCCUCUCUUUGUGUCAAACUUCCAGCCUUUUGCUUGCCUUUUGUCUGAGUUGUUUGUACCGCACUCUCUUACCCUUGACAAUUUCCCCAUCCUUCUUCAGUUUUUGGUUUCGUGUCAUUGCUCCAAGACGAUGGGUAGCAUUGCUCCUUAUAGCAUCUGGUUGGGCUGGAGGAAGAUCCUUGGGCAUUGUCUAUCCCUGGUACUGGUGGCUUUAAGGGUGGGGCUAUUUCUUUUGCUUCUGCUCUGGCCAUGCAUAGAAUUGUGAUUGAUAGGGCUUUGGAAUCAAUGAUAGGAGCAGGCAGGGUUUUUUGCCCCUGGGGCCUGAUAUUGUUGGUGUUGUUGCUGUUUGCCACCCUCUUUUAUUUCUUUUAUUUUGCUUUUCUUCUGGACUGAACUACCUCAAGUGGCCUUUACUAACGUACAUAUAGCAACUGGGCCUUCUGACCUACAUCACCAAUCCAGUUGACUUCCUUUCCACUCCCUCUAUUGGGUACUGCUCCAGGACAGCCUUGUAAUCAUCAAGUUGGGUGGGUGGGUAUCAGGACUUGAAGAUUCAUAGGAACCCCCACCACCACCACUCUGCCACACAUUGCUGUGGGUCAAAUCAGCACAACACCAACACCACAUCCUGUCUAUACAACAAGCAAAGGGUCAAUAUCCUUCUUGGUAUCUCUCAUUGUGAUCCUCAGAUUACUGAGGCCCAUGUACCUUAGCAUCAGCCUAUGGGUGAUUUGUGUGGUGCACCUGCUCUACCUGUCCCCUCUUGAUUUUAAUGACCAGACUUGCAUAUCCAUAUAUCGUGACUCAGUCAAUGCAACACAUCCUGUGACACUAGCAAUCAUCUAUCAUCUAAGAGUGCCUGGUACUCAUACCCCACUAUCCUCAAUCAGCACAGUAUUUGAUUCAUCCUGUUUUAUGGUCAAUAUUAAAUAAGUAAGUUAGAAUUCUCCCUUCAAAUUUACCAUAAAGUUCAGACACUCCACGAGGAUCAGCACCUCUUCAUGAGGGACUCUUAGCCUCUUGCUUGCCUUUUGUCUGGGCUCAUUUUUGCCUCGUCUUUCUUUUCUCACUGUUUCCAGCAGUUUCCUCCACCCUCAUCCAAGAUUUUCUCUCGCUCCUUUUACAAGGAAGUCCUGCUUAUAUAACUAUUUCCUUUUGGGGGUUAAUAAUUAUCAUAAUAAUUACAAUUAUAAUUACAGGUGGACUGGCAGAACUAAUAGAAUAUAAGAUUAACUAUCCAAUAUUAUUUCACUUUGUCAUUUUUAGUUCUGUGUUCAUAUCCUAAUGGUAUUUGAUUUUGUAUUUUAUAAUCCUGGGUCUGAUAAAUUAAGUACUAAUUUAUGCACUGUGAUUUGUUAUCCAACUAUACUUCAAAAUUCAUGUCUUUGUGCCAAUGUUAGAAACUGUUGUUAUUUGAGUGCAGUUGAUAAAAAAAAAAUCAAAAACCUCAGUAAUUAACUGGUACUUGUAUUUUAUCAAUCCAAAUGUGGCGGGCUGGCAGAAUCAUUAUCACACUGGACAAAAAUACUUAGCAUCAUUCCUUCUGGCUCUUUAUGUUCUGAGUUCAAAUCCCACUGAGAUUGACUUUGUCUUUCAACAUUUCAGGGUUGAUAAAAUAAAUACCAGUUGAGUUGCUGGGGUCAAUAUAAUCUACUCACCCCUGCCCUCAAAAUUGCAGGCCUUGUGCCAAAAUAAGAAAGAAAUUUAUUUUAUCGACCCAUUCACUCCUCUUCUCUUGAAGGAUGAGAGGCAAAGUUGACCCCGUCAGGGUUCAUUCUCAGAAAAUGUUUCCCCUGCUGGUUUCAUCUUUGCUCACAUUCUCCUAGGGCUACAGUGAAGUGCUGGGGUUGAUGGGGUUGCUAGAAAUAACUGUUACCCUCACCACAAAUCUCUGGCCUUGUGCCUGUAUUAGAAACCAUUUUUAUUAUUAUUAUAAUUAUUUGUUGUUGUUGUUGCUAUUUUUGUUACAGUUCAGUAGUUGGUGUACAACCAAUUCUGAGAAUUACUCUUAGACUGAUAAGACUUCUAAAGAAGGCAUGAACAUUACAACAUCCUGUUUUCUUCCCUCUAGCCCUCUCUUUUGUAUAUCUGAGACCACCUUUCUACUUGAAAUAAAAAUCUAUCAUAUUAAUACUGUACACCUGAGAACACACUGUAAAACAAAGGUAAGCUCCCAGCUGAGUUUCAAACCAAGAUUGCUUGCAUUUCACUUCACUUGAAAAAAUUAAUGUAUUUGGGAAAAGGCAUGAAAAAAAAAAAAUCACAGUUUCUGGUUCUAACUUUUCUAAAAAUGAAUCAUGUCUGAAGCCUUUGUACUUACAUGAAGGACAAUUGUUAUUAAAAAUGAAAGGUUAACCCUCAGAAAUUCUGUUUGUUGUAUGAAUACGGACACGCACACAUGUAUACACAUAUACAUGGAGAUGCACACAUAAUACAUAAACACAUGUAUAAACAUGUAUACACACAUAUUUGUACACACACACAAACACUAUAUGUGUAUAUGUAUGUAUAUGUGUGUGUGUGUCUAGUUAUGAAGUUGAUAUAUAUUGCACUAUAUACCAGCAGUAAUCCUUGGUGGACACAUGAUAAUGUGAAAUAUUUCUUGAAGGUGUAGCCAUUGGUGUUCACUUCAUAUAUAAUAAAUAGAUAAAUAAUUAGAUAAUUUACACUCUGCAAAUGCUGUGUUGAGUAUGUUGACAGUUUGUGAUAUUAACGUGUGUGUGUGUGUGUGUGAUCUGUAUGUAUAUUCCGUAACCAAAUGCAAUAAAAUGUUCCCCUGAUCUGUUGUGGUCAGGCAUCCAAAUGCCCUUUGAACACCCAGUAUGGAAGUGUACAUAGGAACUAAAUAUAGAUACUGGUGUUUAUCUUAACUUUCCACUUCACACACACACACAAUGUGUAUAUAUGAUCAAACAGACUCCAGAGAGGCUGGUGUUGGGUCUGCACCACAAAGAUUUAUGUAGCAAAAUUGAUUGAAAGAAUAUAAUGAACUUGCAGUGAAGAGAGGAAAAUUUCAACAUUUCAGAUAAAGUCCUUCAAGGAAAAGUUGAAAGGAGAGAAAUUAAUGAAGGACAGCAGAGUUUUACAUCUGAGAGUUUUCCAAUUUCCACAAUAUUCACUGUACUCUUUUUAUUGAUUUUACUACACACACACACACACACACACAUUUGUACAAAUCAGAGAAAGAGUACUUAAAGUGUCAUGGAGUUUCAUUUAUUAGAAAAAAAAACUGUGACUCAUGGGGUUGCAUCAGAGCAAAUGAUUGGCUUUAAAUGAACAAGGUGGAAAGACAUUUUGGAAACUGGCCAAACCAUACAAGAUUAAAAGAACAAAAAAAAAAAAAGGAUAUAAAAUAUAUUUAAUGCCCAUAUCAUCAUAUAGAUAAAGAUUUUACUCUAAAAUUCCUUCUAGUUCAUAAUUCAAAUUUUGUUCAGACUUAGCAGUAUCAUUGAAAACUGCUGUAUUAUUUACACACUAUAUAUUUCAGACUGGCUGAUUUGACUUUGUUUCAGGAGUAACUUAGAGUAAAUGACAUUGACAAGCUGCAACAACAGUGAAAUGUGCAUUUGUCAUUCUUGUCAUUUCUGGAGCAAUUUUGUUGCACCUAGCUCUGAAGUAUAUUGUCUUUUAACACAUCUUUAAAGGGAUUUUUCCCAGAUGAAAAAAAAAUGCUUCUUCUAGCUUUUCAAUGAUACAUGUUAAGUAUGUAUAUACCAUGGAUAGAGACUGCUUUUCCUUGUGUAGAGCACCAAAACAUUCAAUAUACAUACAUAUAUGUAUAUAUAUAUAUAUAUAUAUAUAUAUAUAUAUAUAUAUAUAUAUAUAUAUAUAUAUAUAUAUAUACAUAUUUUGAAUUUGUUUACAGGAAACGUUUUGAAUAUGCAAAUAAAGCUCCUAUUCCAUUAUAUUGGUCACAGUCUAGUGAUGCUGAUGGGUGAACCAGGUUUUGGGGGUUGCAUUGAGCUGUACCAAUAUAAUGUAGGAUAAAUAUAAUAACAAUAAUCCUUGGAUGGAAUUUAUAAACAUUUAAUGCAUCGCUACAUGUAUUUCCACAAACUGCAUAUCUCAGGAAUAGGAACUACGAUCUUAAGAGAUGUGGUUUGUGGAAACACACGUAGUGAUGCAUUAAAUGUUUAUACAUAUAUGUAUGUCAGUAAUAAUUUUAAAUUUGGACAUGCAUCUUAUAGUGUGCCAUUUAAAGCCAGUUGACAGUAUUCGGCUACCUGAUGUCAUCAACUGUAUGGACAUAAAUCCCAUUGGAUUUACUUAAGGGAUUUUCUCGUCUGUAGAGUUUAUAACAUAUGAGAGAAAGAGGAAGAAAAUG
rnacentral:lncRNA from 1 species